rnacentral:rRNA from 1 species
CGCGUAGGCGGUUCGACAAGCGAGAUGUGAAAGCCCCGGGCUUAACCUGGGAACGGCAUUUCGAACUGUCGGGCUAGAGUAUGGUAGAGGGUAGUGGAAUUUCCUGUGUAGCGGUGAAAUGCGUAGAUAUAGGAAGGAACACCAGUGGCGAAGGCGGCUUUCUGGCCCAAUACUGACACUCAUGUGCGAAAGCGGGGGGAGCAAACA